GUUAUAACGAAUGAAUGACUUUUAAUUGUAUUUUUUAUUAGAAACACUCCCAGCACCUUUUGGUUGAUCAAAUCAUCAUUUAUAGUAGUGGGGUAAGACCUUUCAUUUUCUUUUGUCGUUAUAUCAAACUAUAAAAAUAUUUACAUAAAUAUAGAACCGUAUCUUUGGGAGUCGUAAAUGGCAUACCAUGUACUAAUAGUACCCAUUUCAUCCCAUCCCACUACAUGUAUUUUAUAGGUUGGAUCGGCAUUGGCACUAAAGCACUUUUAUUUAACUUAAACCUGUAAUUAACAAAACAAUAAUAGGUUGUUCUACUUUCCAACUUUCAGAGCUUUGUAGUCUUUUCGUUUAUUUUAAUCUUUCCGUUUAUUUUAUAUUGUUUCUGUAUACCUUUAUACAACAGAAAUAAUAUCUAAAUAUUUUAGUAGCACAAUCUUAGGUACAGUAGGGUGGGGGGAAGAUGGGACACAUUU